GCAGAGUCUUGCUAACUUUUACCACGAUUUGGAGAAUAGGGUGCAUCAUGUGCAGAGCAAAGAUAAACUUGAAAGAAUUUAAUUCACAAAUAAGACCCCUUGCUUUUUAUUUUAGCAUCAGCUAAGCGACUUGAUUCAAUGAUCUCAUUUAAGGCCUGUAAAAUAACUGAGAAGUUUUCUUUUACUGCAGCCACUGCUUCUGCUCUGCAUGCCCACCUUGUGUUUGACAGUGACUUUAGAGUCUUCAACUGAGUUCCUACUUCUUGAGAAAUCUUCUCCAUUACGGCAUGUCUCACAGGACUUCCCUCCAUGAAGGCAUAAAGAGUCUGGAUAAUGCCAAAGAAGUCAAACACUGUUCUGUUUUGUCUACUUGAGGUGCAUGCAUCAACUAGGACAAGGUUUAAACAAUGUGCAUAGCAGUGUACAUAGAGUAUUUCAUGUUUUUUUUCUUUACAUUUCAUCUGAAAACACUUUAAUGCAUCCAGACAUAGUAGAUGCUCCAUCGAAGCACACAGAGAUCAAUGAUAACCAGUCGGUUUUAAUAAUUUCAAGAACAUUAUUUAUUUGGUCAAAAAUCGACCCUCUACCGAUAUUGAAGAAAACAAUAAAAAUUGUCAGAUUUAAAAA